GUUGGAAAAUCACAGGCUCCUCAGCCCCAGCUAAUUACUACCUCCAGCAGCACCGCUAUAGGCCGCUGCAUAAAGCAGAAAACUCUUCGUUUUAUGCAAAACCAAGGGUGGCAAAGAAGGCAGCUUCCAACGAGUGGAAAUUGGAUAAUUGAAUCAAUGUGUUCUUUUUGAAAAGCGAGAGGAUGUAGUAAAGUAUCUAAUUUGGACUGAGGGCAAGCAGAAUGGCUUCUCAUGUUUCACACUAAAGAUGGCCUCCCAGAUAAGUGACACGCAGACCCUGGUGAGAACAGUCACCUUUGCUGUAGGAUUACAGCCGGGCACAAAGUCACGAGUGCCACAGGCUGACUGUGGUCAGAUCAAGACGUCAUGUAUGCUGACUGUCAUUACAAACCAAGAAACCCGACUGUUGUCUUGCAAGCGAAAUAGAAAACUUCAGGUUCACGUUAAUGAUUCCCGCUCGAGGAGAAAAACCAUCUGA
rnacentral:lncRNA from 1 species